rnacentral:rRNA from 1 species
GUGGGGAAUAUUGCGCAAUGGGGGAAACCCUGACGCAGCAACGCCGCGUGAGUGAUGAAGGCUUUCGAGUCGUAAAACUCUGUCUUUGGGGACGAAUAAUGACGGUACCCAAGGAGGAAGCCCCGGCUAACUACGUGCCAGCAGUCGCGGUAAUACGUAGGGGGCAAGCGUUGUCCGGAAUCACUGGGCGUAAAGGGCGCGUAGGCGGUUUGUUAAGUCAGGUGUGAAAGUUUUCAGCUUAACUGGAAAAGUGCACUUGAAACUAACUUACUUGAGUACUGGAGAGGUAAGCGGAAUUCCUAGUGUAGCGGUGAAAUGCGUAGAUAUUAGGAAGAACACCGGUGGCGAAGGCGGCCUGCUGGACGACAACUGACGCUGAGGAGCGAAAGCGUGGGGAGCAAACAGGAUUAGAUACCCCGGUAGUCC